rnacentral:rRNA from 1 species
UACGAGGGGUGCAAGCGUUGCUCGGAAUCACUGGGCGUAAAGGGUGCGUAGGCGGGUCUUUAAGUCAGGGGUGAAAUCCUGGAGCUCAACUCCAGAACUGCCUUUGAUACUGAGGAUCUUGAGUACGGGAGAGGUGAGUGGAACUGCGAGUGUAGAGGUGAAAUUCGUAGAUAUUCGCAAGAACACCAGUGGCGAAGGCGGCUCACUGGCCCGUAACUGACGCUGAGGCACGAAAGCGUGGGGAGCAAACAGG